rnacentral:rRNA from 1 species
UACGUAGGGUGCGAGCGUUGUCCGGAAUUACUGGGCGUAAAGAGCUCGUAGGUGGUUUGUCGCGUUGUCCGUGAAAACUCACAGCUUAACUGUGGGCGUGCGGGCGAUACGGGCAGACUGGAGUACUGCAGGGGAGACUGGAAUUCCUGGUGUAGCGGUGGAAUGCGCAGAUAUCAGGAGGAACACCCGUGGCGAAGGCGGCUCUCUGGGACGGUACUGACGCUGAGACGCGAAAGCGUGGGGAGCGAACAGG